UGAAUAGCUAGGAGGUGACAGUCCCAGCUGUGAGGAUGAGGCUUGAAGGGACAGAGCCCUCUGAUUCCCAGUGACAAACCCGGUGACUCAGCAGGAGGGGGGCUCACUACCUGGCCUUGCCCACUGAGUCACUGUCUACGCAGACAUGUCCGGGACACCAGCUCCUUCCUGAUGUUUUAUCUGUUGACCUGAGCAAGCCUGAGGGACAGAAGAGAGAGAAACUGAGGCCCGGAGAGAGCAAAAGGUGGAAUCCAGGCCCCAAAGUUGUGAAUAGGGGGCCGGAAGGAAGACUUAAGGUCUUUUGAGCCCGCAGCCCUGAACCUGAUGGGUCUCAGCCCCACUGGGGAUCUUCUGAGCCAGCCCUAACAAGCCUGGUGCGCUGGAUAAGCUUGGGCUCCCUGGUUCCAGCCCUUCCUCCAAGAGAACUGGCCUCGGGACUUCCAUACUCCUCCCCCAACCCAGGUUCAUCCCGGCUGCGGGCAGGGCAGGUAAGGGUGG